AAAAAAUGAAAAACCUCAUUUUCCAUCUUCCUUGCCGCCCCACUUUCUUCUUCAUUUCACCAUUGCCCAUCCUCCAUUAAAGCUUGCACUCAAGCUUUAUUCCUCUACUCAACCUUAAUAACUCCCUUAAAAACCUCCCUAGAACUUGUUAUUGCAACUUAAGAAGGAGAUUACAAGAAGAAAGAAGAGUUAAGAUAGGGUUUUGAAGCUUUGAGAAAGUGGAAAAGAAUACCGGGACAGAACCCGAGGAGUCGAGUCAAGGCCAACAGGCGACUCGUUUGAGAUACAGAGACUAGAGGAGCAGCAGACUGAGCUGCUGAGGAUUGAUGAUCGUUCUGCUUUGAAGCUAUCGGGUAUAAUUUAUACCCUGAUCGUAAAUAUUUAUUUUGAUGUAUGUAAUGCACAGAAAUGUAUGGACAUGUGAAGACGGGUUUUGAGCAGCUUGUACAAAAUCUGUAUAAAAUUUGUAAUAAACUUUAGUUUGGAUUUUCUUAAUGUAAAUUUUUGUAUGAUAUAUACAUAAAUUGUUUAUCUUUGAAGAAAUAUGAAUGUAUGAAAUUGAUUGACUGUA